rfam:Pseudomonas sp. BAY1663 contig000019, whole genome shotgun sequence.
GAAAUAGCCGACUAGGGUUCCGACUCGCACGACGAGUGGCUGGUCCGAGAGUUGGCGACCUCCGGUGAGGUUACACGGCGGGACAAAAGCCCGGGAGAA